CCUACGGGAGGCAGCAGUGAGGAAUAUUGGUCAAUGGACGAGAGUCUGAACCAGCCAAGUAGCGUGAAGGAUGACUGCCCUAUGGGUUGUAAACUUCUUUUAUAUGGGAAUAAAAUGUUCCACGUGUGGGAUUUUGUAUGUACCAUAUGAAUAAGGAUCGGCUAACUCCGAGCCAGCAGCCGCGGUAAUACGGAGGAUCCGAGCGUUAUCCGGAUUUAUUGGGUUUAAAGGGAGCGUAGGUGGAUUGUUAAGUCAGUUGUGAAAGUUUGCGGCUCAACCGUAAAAUUGCAGUUGAAACUGGCAGUCUUGAGUACAGUAGAGGUGGGCGGAAUUCGUGGUGUAGCGGUGAAAUGCUUAGAUAUCACGAAGAACUCCGAUUGCGAAGGCAGUUCACUGGACUGCAACUGACACUGAGGCUCGAAAGUGUGGGUAUCAAACAGGAUUAGAUACCCCUGUAGUC
rnacentral:rRNA from 1 species